rnacentral:rRNA from 1 species
UACGUAGGGGGCGAGCGUUGUCCGGAUUUAUUGGGCGUAAAGGGCGUGUAGGCGGCUGGGUAAGGGUGGGGUGAAAUCUCCCGGCUCAACUGGGAGGGGACCUUGCCGACUGCCUGGCUUGAGGCUGGUAGGGGCACAUGGAAUUCCUGGUGUAGCGGUGAAAUGCGUAGAUAUCAGGAGGAACACCUGUGGUGUAGACGGCUUUCUGGACCAUAGCUGACGCUGAGACACGAAAGCGUGGGUAGCAAACAGG